UCAGUCCUACGGGAGGCAGCAGUGGGGGAUAUUGCACAAUGGGGGGAACCCUGAUGCAGCGACGCCGCGUGAGCGAAGAAGUACCUCGGUAUGUAAAGCUCUAUCAGCAGGGAAGAAAAUGACGGUACCUGACUAAGAAGCCCCGGCUAAAUACGUGACCGCAGCCGCGGUAAUACGUAUGGGGCAAGCGUUAUCCGGAUUUACUGGGUGUAAAGGGAGCGCAGGCGGCCCGCCAAGUCUGGUGUGAAAACCCGGGGCACAACCCCGGGCCUGCAUUGGAAACUGGCGGUCUG
rnacentral:rRNA from 1 species